CCUUUCCCGCAGUGCCAGGCAUUAUUUCUGCCGAAUAGGAGCUGCGUCAAAUCUCACGAUGUCUCCGCUCAAUAUGCUGGCAAUCGUCUUCAUUUCAGUUGCCAUUACAUCCAUAACACACAGCAGAGGAGCAUCGCCGAACACCCACACCGCAACUGGUACCUGUCCUGCUGUUGGGCAGUAUUGCAUUCAAGGCGAAAAUAGCUCUAGUCCGUGCCCUCCAGGGUGCGAGUGUGUCCUCAUGGUUGGCGAAGGAAUCAACUCUCGACAAGGAAAUUGCUCUAAUCCUAGUACAAGUGGAUGAUCUUUUUAUGCGGACAUGAAAUAAAGCAUUUCAAUAU